GAGAGGCGGAGAGAGGAAGUCGGGAAAACAGAUUUAAACCAAGUUUGAAAAAGGUGCUUCUGUUUGUCAGUACUGUGAGAGAACGUCGUUCCCGAGGAGGUUAGGAUGAUACAAUAAACUCUGGAGCGGUUUUUUUUGUCGAACAUAGAGUGAAGCUGGACUCUGAACACACCUUCGGUGCCAAGGUCUUACCACUCCGUCCACGAUUGCAGAGAUGCUGUCCACGAUUGCAGACUCUUUGUACAUUGAAAAAGUUCUUUGAGAGCAGGACAGAGGCCUCCAGGAUUCAAACUUAAACCAUAAGAGAGAAAAGACAGACGUGAAGACAUUUCCAGAAGGUUUUCAGCUGCCGUCUUCUCCUUCUGCAGAGACAAGAACACAUAUUAAUCAUAGAAAGUGAUGAGUAAAUCUAAAUAUUUUUACAACAUACUUUUCUCUGACAUUUUUUGAUGUUUUUAUGCCUUAAUACUUUAACGUGGCUUAAGACAAAGGAACUGUCUUAAAAUAGCCAUCUUACCUUUGCUUUCCACAGACACACACAUUC